GAUGAACGCUGGCGGCGUGCCUAAUACAUGCAAGUCGAGCGAACAGACGAGGAUCUUGCUCCUCUGACGUUAGCGGCGGACGGGUGAGUAACACGUGGAUAACCUACCUAUAAGACUGGGAUAACUUCGGGAAACCGGAGCUAAUACCGGAUAAUAUAUUGAACCGCAUGGUUCAAUAGUGAAAGACGGUUUUGCUGUCACUUAUAGAUGGAUCCGCGCCGCAUUAGCUAGUUGGUAAGGUAACGGCUUACCAAGGCAACGAUGCGUAGCCGACCUGAGAGGGUGAUCGGCCACACUGGAACGGAGCCACGGUCCAGACUCCUACGGGAGGCAGCAGUAGGGAAUCUUCCGCAAUGGGCGAAAGCCUGACGGAGCAACGCCGCGUGAGUGAUGAAGGUCUUCGGAUCGUAAAACUCUGUUAUUAGGGAAGAACAAAUGUGUAAGUAACUAUGCACGUCUUGACGGUACCUAAUCAGAAAGCCACGGCUAACUACGUG
rnacentral:rRNA from 1 species